rnacentral:lncRNA from 1 species
ACUCUUCCAAGUAAAAACUAGAAGAGAAUAUUGAUCAACACAACAAACGGGUUGAAAACAAAAGCAGCACAAAAAUAUAAAGAGAACCGCACAACAUGCUUGGUCACCCCGUUUGCCACAAAUCACAGAUUUGAAGUAGUUUCUAGCAUGAUCAAUCUCAAUCUGUAAAAGAAACAAACGAAGCAACAAAAAAAAAAAAAAACACGGCCGGCAACACAACAACGGAAACAAUAAAGCAAUUGCGGCAGCUACAGGGGAAACCACCCAAGCCACCGAAACACAAAGGCAAUCCCCAGGCAAAGUAGAUCCAAAAUAGGAGCAGAACAACGAAACCACCCACCCAACCACACACUCCCUGCAAAAUAAGAGAAAAUCCCAAAGUCACAGCAAAGGAAAAGGGUGAGAAAGAACUCGAGGAGGGAGGGAAAGAGAGGACGGGAAACAAAGGAGAGAGGGGCGGGGAGAAAGGAGAGGGGAGGGGCAAGACAAAGGCAGGGGACAGGGGGAGGGAGGGGGGAGAGCAAAAGGAGGUCACCCACCUCCAAAUGGGGUUGGC